rnacentral:lncRNA from 1 species
UAAAAAAUACAAAUUGCAAAAUAUCACAAGAUGAGAAAAGAUAUCUACAAUAAAGACAAAUUCCCAAGACUUAUAAGUCUUUGAACGUAUAAUUUGGGGCCAUUAAUUCCAAUUCUGCAUCUAUGAUUUUUCUUAUAGUCUUGUUCUAAUUUUAUGGAGAAUAAGUAUUGAUGGAAAUUGUGUAUGCCUCAUAUAAGUGGCCACCAAUUUGAGGCCACCCUCAUGGGCCCAGGAGCAUGUUUGGGCCUUCUAACACAGACCAAGAAUUACUUGUUGUGGAGCCCACUUUUAACAAUUCUCAUCACAUCACUUUUUUAAAAGUGAUGUAUCUUUGAAAAUAUCACAAGUUUGGAAAAGAUCUUGAUAAUAAAUUCAAAUUGCCAAGACUUGCAAGUCUUUGAACGUCUAAUUUGGGGCAGUGUAUUAUAACUCUUCAUCUUUAAUUUGUCUUCUAGUUUUAGGUUCUAAUUUCAUGGAAAUUAAGCAUUGUGUGUUCCACCCAUUUAGAAUCAUUCAUCUUCAUGGAGACUAUAUAAACCCUCAUGGGCCUGUUCAUAAAGACAUCAACACAAUACUAAAAUGUCUUAAUAGAGAAUAAAUGAAAGUACAAUACUGCAAUAACAAAAAGAUUAAUGAAUGUACGUUGCUAUUUCUUACAUUUAACCCUUUUGCAUUUGACCAAAUGUAUUAUCAUCAAAGUCACAAUACAAAUUAUCACAAAGUGUAGUAGAUUAUGGUGUUAAUGAGAAGCCGAAUACAUUUGCUCUCAUCCAAAACAAUCGAUCAACUUAACCCCUGGUGAUUUUAGCAUUUACCUCUUCUAAAAGCUAAGUUUGAAAGAUAUCAUCAACAACACUAAUUCAACUGCAAUCAAAUAAUAUUAUGUUGCACCUACUUGUGCAGCUAGAUCCGUUUGUUUAUUGCUGGGUUUGAUAUGGAGAAUGUUAGUGAAUGCUAGUGUACACAAACAUUAGCUUAGCAAUGUAGGCACAAUCAACCAACAGAACAGAUGCUCAUAAGGUAGCUGGAAGAAAAGAUCAGAUAAAGACCAGAACACGCUCCAUUUUUACAUUUAUAUUAUUGAUAACUGAGAAAUAAAACCCAUCGAUCAGUAAAAAUCAAUGGCCUUUUCCAUGGCAAAACCCUGAAUUUGCAGGUUAUGCAAAUAAUAUAAACUCACAAGUCUGUCUCCUAAUCUAACAAUAGAUUAGAUGCACCUGAAGAAUACCCAAAAUGAAGCAACAAUACAGAAGUAGGACAUCACCUAGGCAAUGAUGUGUGCGUGGUUGCUCUGCUACGAUGCUCGGAUUUGGAACCCUCGUUGACUGAUUUUGAUUGUAGAGGAAAAAUGGUGUAUUGGAUGGCACAUAGAUCUCACGAUCCUAUCUGGAUCUUGCGAGCAUAAUCACGAAUCUUGUUUCAAAAUCAGAAAUUAAUUUCUGAUGUAUCGAUCACGAGCGCGAUAAACAAAGCUUGUCCAGUCAUACAAGAGCAGCCUGUUUGUGACCUUAGAAUUGGGAAUUUGGUCUAAAAUGGUAAAAGAAAGGUUUUUUUUU